AAACAUGACUUUGAUCUGCGUCCUCAUCUGGACUCUCCUCUGCUGCUGCUUCACAGAGUCCAGAGGCCAGGUCACAGUGACUCAGCCUGGAGCAGUGAGCUCUGCUCUGGGAGGCUCCGUCUCCAUCAGAUGUACGACCAGUCAGGAUGUUUAUGUUUGGAGCAACAACCACUGUUUAGCCUGGUACCAACAGAGAGAUGGAGAAAUUCCUAAACUGCUCAUUUACUAUGCUAGCACUCGAGCAUCAGGGAUUCCAGGUCGUUUUACAGGCAGUGGAUCAAACUCUGACUUCACUCUGACCAUCGUUUUUGUACGGCGGCUCAAUGAGUUUGUAUCACUGUUGUGGACUUUUGGUGGAGGAACCAGACUGGAUGUUGGAAGUGAUGUCCGUCCCACCCUGACGGUGCUGCCCCCCUCCAGUGAGGAGCUGCAGCAGGGGAAGGCCACGCUCAUGUGCCUGGCCAACAAGGGCUUCCCCUCAGACGGGAGUCUGGCCUGGAAGGUGGACGGCAGCAGCAGCAGCAGCAGCUGGGAGGAGAGCAGGAGCCCCGGGGUGCUGGAGAAGGACGGCCGCUACAGCUGGAGCAGCACCCUGAGGCUCCCUGCAGACCAGUGGAGGAAGGUGGGCUCUGUGACCUGUGAGGCCACCCAGGGCUCCCAGGCUCUGGUCUCAGAGACACUGAGGAGAGACCAGUGUUCCCAGUCCUGAUCUGACUCACUGGGACUCUGUUACUGGUUUUACUCUGCUACUGCUCUCAGUCU